GACGAACGCUGGCGGCGUGCCUAAUACAUGCAAGUCGAGCGAAGUUUUUCCGGUGCUUGCACCGGAAAAACUUAGCGGCGAACGGGUGAGUAACACGUAAAGAACCUGCCUCAUAGACUGGGACAACUAUAGGAAACGAUAGCUAAUACCGGAUAAUAGCAUUAACUGCAUGGUUGAUGUUUAAAAGUUGGUUUUGCUAACACUAUGAGAUGGCUUUGCGGUGCAUUAGCUAGUUGGUGGGGUAAAGGUCUACCAAGGCGACGAUGCAUAGCCGACCUGUGAGGGUGAUCGCCCACACUGGGACUGAGACACCGCCCAGACUCCUGCGGGAGGCAGCAGUAGGGAAUCUUCCGCAAUGGGCGAGAGCCUGACGGAGCAACGCCGCGUGAGUGAAGAAGGAGUUCGGUUCGGAAAGCUCUGUUGUUAGGGAAAAAUGGUUGUGUAGUAACAAGACACAGUAGAGACGGUACCUAACCAGAAAGCCACGGCUAACUACGUG
rnacentral:rRNA from 1 species